AUCUUUGCUCUGUUCUCCUCUCCCUCAGUAAUGCCGGCCAGAAAUACCUCCUUCCUUUUCCAUAUGCGAUCUUCUCAUCUCCCUCAGUGCGAUCUUCUCAUCUCCCUCAGUAAUUGCACCGAGGAAAACUCACCAGCCAAGCCAAAAAUGAAUUCGCCCCUGUCUUCUUUCAUUCUCCUCCUCAGUAAUUGCUCUGUUCUUUUUCUUUUGAAUUGCAAAAAAUGAGGCAGAGGAUAGCCUGCAAUCGUAGUCGAGCUCGGAUUUCGUUCUCUCUUUUUUCAGUCUCCCCCAAUAGCAAAACACCUAUCCUUUGAAUUCAGCUCACAAGUACGAAACUCAUCAAACUACAACGAGAAUCAAAUGGAGUCGAUUCAAUUUAUAUGGAUACGAAGAUGAAGAAAACGCAGAAGAAGAUCGAAGCUUGGAUUUGUUAAUUAGGUUUGUGGAAAAUAUCUUCAGAAAGGUCUCCAAAUGAGCUCGUCAUUAAAGCUGUGAGAUCAGUUCUUCCUAUUGCUAUUUCCACCAAAUUGCGUGUCAGUGCUUCCCAUUGCAGUCACUCUCACCAGCGUGUCCAUGUAAACUUGGUUCCCUCAAUUUAUCUAAGGGAACUUCUUGUGGAUGAGUGAUAAAUUGGCCAUGUUCAUUUCAAAGAAAGGGCAGGUUCAGAAAUGCAAUCCCAUAUUGAUGCAGAGGUUGUCAAAGUCCUUAGAGAUGUAUACGAUCUGACGAAGCCUUGCUUAAGAAGUACUGGGGUCCAAGGAGCAUACCUUGCACGAAGCUCACGACUGGUUCGACGGUCUUAUGUACCAUUUUAUUCCAAUGUGUUUCGAUCUGUGAGGCUGUUUGUUAGGCUUUAGCAACAUUAUAUUGAAGAAGCGUGAGUAGCUGACAUGCAUUGUGGUUAUAAGGCAUAAUGUCCCAUAGUUUUACUUGAGAUGACAUCAUGGGUAAGGAAAAGAUUCAUAUCAGUUUGGUGGUCAUUGGCCAUGUAGAUUCUGGAAAGUCAACCGCCACUGAUCACUUGAUCUACAAGCUUGGAGGUAUUGACAAGCAUAUGAUCGAGAGAUUUGAGAAAGAAGCUGCUGAGAUGACCAAGAGGUCCUUCAAGUAUGCUUGGGUUCUUGACAAACUAAAGGUUGAGCGUGAACGCGGUAUUACCAUUGAUAUUGCCUUGUGGAAGUUUGAGACCAACAAGUACUACUGUGAUCGAUGCCCCUGGACACAUACUUUAUCAAGAACAUGAUUACUGGUACCUCCCAGGCUGAUUGUGUUAUCCUCAUUAUUGAAUCUACCACUGGAGGUUUUAAGGCUGUAUCUCAAAGGAUAUAGUCACGGGAUGGAUAUCAUGAGCCCAGUGCACAAAGUGUGUAAUGGCCACUCUAACACUAAUGAAUCUACUGACAAGCAGGAUAAGGAAGUAAGUCUAUUCCAGCCUGCUAGCGAAUUUUUACCCAUGAUCGAUGAGGUUUUAGAACCCUUGUCCACAAGACUAAAGGUAUUAAAGGCGUGAAUGUUGAGAUCUACAAGUUCUUUUCAUCUGUACAUUACCGUAAUGUUGAUGAGAAGAAUUGGCCUACUAUUGCUCAGCUUGUUCAUCAAGUUCUUAAAAGUUUCUCUCGCUUACGUUUAACUCACGGGUGUAAGAUUGUAUGCUACCACUAUCAGAUUGGGCCAGUACAGGAAGAGUUUAAAAUCCCAGUUACCCCUGAGGAGUAUACUCGAAAUAAUCUUAAGUUUUCUCUUGUUGACGUGGUUUACAAAUGGGCAAAGGUAUACAUUUUUUUGCUGGACCAACUUCUGUCAGAAUCGACAACUUUUGGGGAAGAUAUUGAAAGAUCUUGUAGAAUUUUGCCGGGACGAUAAAGUUGGUCCCAUAGAGGGCUUGAAAAGUUAUCCUCGAUAUAGUUUUGCAUCUAAGCUAAAGAUGCAAAGGAUGCAGGAAAUGGAGCAGGUUGCUGGUGGUCAAGGUCUGCCCACUUACAGGAACACUAUCAAUAAACUUAUGGCAAUGCAGCAGCUAUGGAUGAAUAAGCCUAAUAUGGGCAACAACACUAAUUUGCUUUUCAAUAAUAAACGCUCGACAAAUGGGCAGGCAGCAGCUACCUUAGCAUUGACCAACUACCAGGGGAAUAUAUUUUGCUGGAGUGGAAAAUGUUUAAUGUCCGAUGCAUGAUACUAUGUUCAUUGUCAAGUCUUAUUCCUGAAAAAUUUAAUUUAGUCAGGCAUCUAUGCUUUGGAGGAAAGAAGUUACGGAAAUGGCAGCAGACUACCCUGAUGUUGAGCUCUCACAUAUGUAUAUUGAUAAUGCAGCAAUGCAACUUAUUCGUGAUCCCAAACAGGGCAUAUUCACCUCCCCAGCCCAAAGUCAACAAACAUUUAAACUAUUUUCUUUCUUGAGAACUAACGUUGGUCUUUUUUACAAAAAUGUGUCCGCUAAUUUACUUGUGCAGUUUGACACUAUAUUAACCAACAGCAUUUUUGGUGAUAUAUUAUCUGACGAGGCUUCUAUGGUUAGUGGGAGUAUUGGUAUGCUUCCUUCUGCAAGCAUCGGUCAUCAUUCUAAUAAAAUUGAGCUGGUCAAUCUGGUCUUAGCUGGGUAUCACAAUUUUGGAUUAAUCCCGGGAGAACAUUGAUUAAACUUGAUCCACAUCUAUCCAAGUUAUUUAUGAUGUAGGACAACUUAAGUUUGAGUAUAUCUUUCCAAUUUCACUGAUGAUCUCCUUGAAGUUGCCAUUUUAAUGUGAUGUAGGACACCUUAAGUUUGAGUGUAUCUUGCAGCUUAUGAUCGCCAAAGAUCUUGCAUCACAAUUUAGCAGUCCGUUAAUUAAUACACGUUCAUUACGCUUUA